rnacentral:lncRNA from 1 species
AACAUAGAUUUGCUUGGGAUCUGCGCGCAAUUAGCAAAAUAGUUACACCUCGCUUCCCAGUAGUGCCUAACCUGAAUCCCAUCCUCUCUUCACUGUAUUAUAUUUAUGAUGUUUUUCUUUAGUGUCCCAUUUCAUAAAGAUAGUCCACAUGACUUUCUUUCACCUGAGAAAAUUAAUAGUACACAUGGACCCAGGAAUUCAUUGAAACCUCAUCACACUUUUCCAAGUCUUAAAUCAAGAUUCUAAGGAUAUCCUCUUCCCAUAGGUGAUCAUUCUGAUCCUGUAUGUAAAUGGUCUUGUCUUCGGUUCCCCUCAUCUGCAUGAUUCUAAGAAUGACUGUAAACAUCUACUCACUGACACGGCCAAGACAUAUCAGCUGAAGGAAGGACAGUAUCUAAGGAGAGAUUACAAAUUAAUUAAAAUUACCCAAGACCAACCACUAAAAGACAGAAAGAUUUUUUGGAUUAACUGGGUAUUAUGUACAACGGGUAUCAAACUUCUCUGAAAUAGCCAGGACUCUAUGCAACGUGACUAAAUCAAACAUCUUAGAACCUCUCCCAUGGAAGGCAGAAAUGGAAAAGGCUUUCUGCGAUCUCAUGACAUCCCUUCUACAAUCACCUACUGGAUCUCCCAGAUUAUCAAAAACCUUCUUUUUGUAUGCAAUGAAAGGAAAGUUGUUUAGUGUCUGUUGUCCAGAGUCACAAAAGCACAUCGAUCAAAGAAAAACCAAGACAAAACAUGUUGACUGAUAUUCAACUGAAAACCAGACCUCUGGAAAUGAAACCUCACCUUCAAGAAGAAUCAGGAACAGCAAUAGAACUCUGGAUCAUUCCUAGAGUAUUUUCUGCAAGUCUGUCUGAUGGAGGAUUAAAAAGGGGGACUGAGAGAAAGAUUUUCUGUCCUUCCAGAAAAAAAUCAUUGUUAUCUGACAACAACAAAUAACUACUAUAACCAGUUUUAAACGCAUCCUAAUCAAGCCGUGACAACCUCGCAUCAGUAAUCACACUCCUGAAAACCAGCUGACUAGCAAUGGCCUCCUUUCGAUGAACAAGCUCCUGAAAGUCAGCCAGUCACCAACGAUGUCACCUGCUUUCACAGUUAAAAGUUUAAAAAGAUCCCUAAACAUUCUCACUUUUGAAAAGCCACCAAUCCCUGAACUCUGUGUUCCAAGACCCUCCACAGGAACAACACUCUGCACAGCUGAGAGACACUGUGCUUUAAAAGUACCGCUC